rnacentral:lncRNA from 1 species
CUUUCUGUAAGGAUGUUUAGGUUUUAUAUGUACUUUGUCUGAUGUAUAAAACACUUUAUAAACUUUAUCCAUUUAAUUCUGCUACACUGAGCACUCUGCUAUAGGAGCAUUAUCUUCACUUUACAGAUAAGGAGAUUUACAUUCACACAAAGCCAUACUGGAAUUGGGGAGGACCAGGCUCAGGGCUCCAGAUAUGACGAUAACCGCUGUGUGCUUAAGGUGGUAGAUUGUACAGCUCUUUUCCAGCACAACACUGCAGGUCAGGCCAUGGAUUUCCUUUUUUCAAUCUCCUUUUGGUUUCAGAUUGGGUUAAACCUCACUGGAUGUUUACCCUUCAUUUCAGGGAAUAGAACAGGUAAGAUUCUUUAUGAAACAAAAGCAGCUCCAAACUGAAAAGCAGGAAUGUGUCACCCACUACCCACAACUGCAAGCAUAGAUUAGUUCAGAAAUGUGAACUGGACUGGAGGUUUUGCUUUGUAGAGUGAUAUGUUUAUAUGCGAAAGAGGAGGAGAAAAGAGGAGGAAGGUCUGAAGCAUAACAGCUCAUAGAGGGAACUGUGCAAAUGCUUUUCACUAAAUUUUCCCACAACCACAUCUCUGAAGAAAGAGACAAGGAAAGGGAUUCUCGGCUAACUGUUGGUCUGUGUGAAGGACUCCAGUAAAGACCUCAUCUCUGGUGUUUAAGUAGAGCUAAUGUGAGGAGUAAAGAUCAUACAGCAAAAUACAACAUCCAUUAGCUGCUUGCACAUGCAAGGACAAAAAAUCUUUGAUCCCCAAAGAAUACCUUUUUCAUGGGAGUCAGGCUCUCAGUGUAGCUCUCCUCUGUCUCCAGACACAUCACAUGGAGUCUUAAGAUCUUGAAAAUGUCCAGGAAAAAAGGUGCUCCUUGCAUUUUGCCCUGGCAUGUUUUGAAGUGUGCCUGCCCUGAGGAGGUCUUGCAGCUGUGUUUGGGACUUCAUGCUGUACAGAAUGGGAGGGAAUGUCCAUAAGCAGUCGCAGAAGAAGAGCAUGCUGUAGCAGCCUGCUCCCCACACAGGUCUGAUAUACAAAAGCACUUCAUCACUGACCUAAUUUGGGUCCAUUUAAGGUAUGUAGAAAGAAAUCCUAUUGACCUAAUUACAAGUAAAGUUUAUCACUGCCAGGUGCUUUUAAACACGUCACUCUAUUCAUAGAAUCACUGAGGUUGGAAAAGAUCCCUAACAUCAUCUAGUCUAACCGUCCAUCUACCACCAAUUUUGCCCACUAAAUUAUGUCCCUAAGUACCACAUCUAACAUUUCCUUAAACAUGUCCAGGGAUAGUGACUCCACCACUUCCCUGGACAGCCUGUUCCAAUGCCUGACUUCUCUUUCUGAGAAAAAACUCUUCCUAAUAUCCAACCUGAACCUCCUGUUGUGCGACUUGAGGCCAUUGCUUCUUGUCCUAUCUCUGUCACCUGGUAGAAGAGACUGACCCCCACCUUGCCACAACCGCCUUUCAGGUAGCUAUAGAAGGUAAUAAGAUCUCCCCUGAGCCUUCUCUUCUCCGGACUAAACAAUCCCAGUUCCCUCAGCCACUUUCCAUAAGACGUAUGAUCCAGUCCUCUCACCAGCUUUGUUGCCUUUCUCUGAACAUGCUCCAGGGCCUCAAUGUCUUUCUUGUCGUGAGGGUCCCAAAACUGAACACAGUACUCGAGGUGCAGCCUCACCAGAGCUGAGAGCAGGGGGAUGAUCACCUCUGAUCACCUCUGAUACAAACCUUUUUGGCUACCUGAGUACACUGUGGACCAGCACUGCCAGAUUCUUUUCCUCUGUUCAGCUUUCCAGUCACUCUGCCCCAAGCCUGUAGCUUUGCAUGGGGUUUUUGUGACCAAAGUGCAGGACUCAGCACUUGGUCUUGUUGAACUUUAUUCCAUUGGCCUCAGCCCAUCAAUCCAGCCUGUCCAGGUCCCUCUGUAGGGCCUUCCUACCCUCAGGCACUUCCUCCCAACUUUGUGUCGUUUGCCAGCUUACUUAAGAGUGCACUCAAUUCCCUCACCCAAUUCAUCCUAAUCAAUAAAGAUAUCAAACAGGAUGGACCCCAAUACCAAACCCUGAGGAACAUAGCUUCUAUCUUGAUAAUAUGCCCAUACAUUCAGGUAUUAACCUUAGGCAUAUAUACUCAGAUCCUUCUGGCGUCAGGAGCCAAAAGCUGUUGCUGAUGACACAGCACAGCCCCUGGAACCAAGCCUGGCUAUUUUGGUGCUACUGCAGUGCAGGUCUGUUCCAGGUGACAUUGUUGUGCUGGUCCUGGUGGGAUCUGUGGUUGGGAUGUGCUGUGUGACUCAGCCCAGCAGACAGCAGCUGCUCUGACACCUUGGCUACAGCACACUGUGGUGUCUAAAGAGCUGCUCUUGAUCAAUAACUUUCCUCCCCAUCUCUGUGAGCAGCAGGGUGGGAGAGGGAAUAAUCUGCCUCAGAAAGUGUCUCACUGCUCUGCUUAGCUGAGGGGUUUAAUUUCCAUUGUUUGUCUCCUGUGUCUCUUUCUGUUCUUGAUAGAUUUCCCCAGCCUCACUGAUGCUAAUCUCAUUGUCCAGGAAUCAGCAAAGGGUAAUUAGCCUCUGUGAUAAUGAUCUAUCUGUCACAAGAUCAUGCCCUCUCAUUGCACACAAUCUCGGAUGUUGUCUAACCUAGCACAGGAGUACGGAGCACAGCCAUGCACAGAGCUUAACCAAAAAGAAGCAGAAGCCCUUGCUGGGGAAGCAUGGAUGUUGCUCCACCAAUUCUGAAACAGAAAAAAACCAAAUCAUUUGUGAAGAGGUAAAAACAAUGUUAAUUUAGUAAAAAUAUUUUUAAAUGUUUUUCUUUGUGAGGCAGCUAAAACCACAGCCAGUCGCGUGUCUUGGAAAUUGCUACUAAUCAAAUUGUGUCCAUUUUCCCCAGCAAAAUGCUUUCUGCCCUGCUGUUUGUCAUGUCUUGUUACUUCUGAUUAUACUGUUUGAGACUUAUGCCUUGACUUAUAUAGAACAGCACUGUUAUCUCAGCAAAGCUGGUACUUGUUUCUUUAUGGCCACUUUUUGGCAUCCAGUGGUGCAAGUUCGUCCUUUUGUUUGUACAGUGCUCAGUUCAACUGAUGUGGUAUUUAAAUGUGAGUUGUAAAUGAGUCAGGCACCCUGUUUCAUACAGAGCCUUGCCCUGUCCUCCCUGCAAUGACAAGGUUGCUUGUAAAUGGGAACUUGCUCAUACUGGUGUCUGAGACAGCAGUGAGCAGUGUGACCAUCAGGAGAACAGCACUAAGCCAGUCAUUUCAAUUAUCUACAGUGGGUUUCUAUUUGAAUUUCACACACGUUUAAAUUGUUAUGCUAUCAGCAGGGUGUGCUCCUGUGCUCCCUAAUUCUUUUUUUUUUUUUUUUUUUUUUUUUUUUUUUUUUUUUUUUUGCAAUGAUUGUAUUUCACGUAUGAUGAAGAACUUCAAGGAAGAACUUUACUGUGAGGGUGAGUACUGGAGCAGGCUGACCAGAGAGGUUGUGUAGUCUCCUGCUCUGGAGAUAUUCAAGACCCGCCUGGACACUUUCCUGUGUAACCUGCUUUAGCAGGGCAUUGGACUAGAUGUCUCCAGAGUCCCUUCCAGCUCCUAUGUUUCUGUGAUAUUUGUGUGCUUCUACAUGUGUACGAUGAAGACAUGAAGACCCAUGAGAUGAGCUCUGGGUCAGGGCUGUAGUUCACCAGGAGAUGAGACAAGGCUGAGAUGAGAACAAAUAACAAUAAUAAGAGCAAUGCUAGUAAUGAGUUAACAUAGUAAAGUGGAAGACUGUGAACUUGUUUUCUUGUGCUUAUGCUACAGUCUUUGAAACCACUGAAGACAUAUGAAAUGCAAAGAAAUAUGAAAGAAAUCUGUCAUUUUUGGUUCAUCCCAGAAAUUAUAAUUUCAAGAGAUAGUAGAAUUAUUUUAUGUUGUGGACAGUUUAAAAUAUAAUGGAAAUGGGAUUUCUUUAAGUUGCCAGGGGUGCAUUAGCAGCUGCUAGUGUGAUGUGUGAUGCCUGAUAAUGUACAUGGAGGAUCAGGGGGAAAAAUCCCAACCUUCAGCCUCGGGAGAUCCUGAGGUAGCUGCCAGUGCUGCAUGUGUGCUGCCCCUGGCAGCUCAGGACAGAACCCCUGCCUUGCUUCAUAAGGAUCCUCCUUGCUUCCUUGGGAUGCCUUGGGGAGCAGCCUGGCUCCUUGGCAUGGCAGCUGGAGCAUCCUCUUCUUGUUCUGUACCUGUAAAAUAAUUCAGGGCACCGCCUGCAGAGAAGCACUGUGCUGGGAAGGCAAUGAGGAGACUCUCCAUGGCCCUUUGCUUGAGGGCAGGAUUUGCCUCUGCAUUUCUCUCUGCUAUCAUCUAGCUAUAAAACACAGGAAAUAAUCUUUUCCUAUGUCAUAGGGAUAUAGGCAGCUCAAUUAAAGUUUAUGAAGCAUGAUCUGAAAUUCUUGGAACCAGAGCAUUGUGGAUAUGCAAAGCAGGACUUUAAGUUAUUCAUUACUGUUUAUUAUACUUUGCAUCUAUUUUUUUUUUCCUAGAACAGAGGCCUGAUCAAGAAAUAUAUCUGACUUCCUGAGAAUUAGCAUGAUUUUGAGGAGAAAUGUGGUAAUUAUUAUUUAUACAUUAUAGUCUCCUUAGCACAUCAUUUCAUCCACAUACCUAGAAUAAGUUAUAUGGAACUGGAUGGUAGGAUUUUGUGCUAGGAUUUCUUUCCAGUUCCGAAAAAAUGUGAUGCUCAUGUCUACUUUUUCUAGUGAGGUACGCUUAAAGGUAUUUUGUGAUGUAACAUCUAUUUUUUCUGUUGACAGUGAUUUGUUUCUGGUCACAUAAAAUAUCUUCUAGCAUGGAUCUGACAAUGAACAUUAAGGAUUUGUUUACUAAUGAUUUAGAAAAGAAGAUUUACUCUGCUUUAAAGGCAUCUAGAAAGACUCAUUUGGUUGGAUUAGAGAUAGUAAGAAAGAAAUAAUACUCAAAGCCCAGUAUUUAAUACAUCAGUGUCACAAAAGAAAAGAGUAACUGACAAAACAGGAUGCAAUAACUGUAAGGCUACUGGUUGCCUGCUUAAAUGGUUGAGCUAAAAGAGUGGUAAACAGAGCCCACCUGCCCAUCCUUUCUUUGCUUUUCAGAAAGCCCAGAAAUGGAAGCUUUGAAUUUUGCCAGUUCUCUGCCCCAUCCCACUGUGAAGAUGAGGAGUGAGGGAAUGACUGUGUAGUUCUGAGCCAUCUGAGGAGUUAAACUGCAAAGCAAUGACAGCUUAGGGACAACAGAAGCCCUCAGAGAGCUUGGCCAUGUUUUCACAUCACUCUUCAUUGCAUCAGCUACCUGUUCUCCCUGCAGAAAACCUCCAGAAGUCAUCUGUGACAUCUUCUGCAGCUUUUUGAUCUCCUGAGAUGUGAGAGGGAUCCUGGCUGAAGGGCUUGCAGCUUUGAGAUGAGGCAGGCACAUAUGAGACAAGGCAGCCACCUCUGUUGAUCCCUCAUCCUCAUGCAUGGUAGUAAGGAAGAAAGCUAUGAAUUACAAAUUUUGAAUUUUGCUCUGGGUGUGGACUCACUGGUGGUCAUGAGUGAGGACCUCAGGUGCUUCUAGGCUGGAAGGGAAGAAUGGGACCAGAUGUACACCAGGCAGUCAAAGCGGUCGAAGCUCUGUACACCCACAGCUUGCUGGUGAGCACUGGGUUUUGAAAAUGGAGGAAGGUAAAGAGAGAACUAAUGCAGGUAGGCUGUGGCUGUUGUACGUGUGGCCAUGUGUUCCUGGUUCCUCCCUGUAUUCUCUCUAGUGAAUCUUGCUUCCUGGUUCAGUGUUUUCGUAAUAAUGGCAUAUUAAUAACUACGUAACCCACUGUCUUCUCUAUCCUUGACUCAGUUCCCAGAAGCCCCACUCCUUCCCAUCCCUUCAUGCCCCUCCCUGCCACCAUGAGAGAUGAACAGAAGCAGGCUCUCCUUCUGUAUCUCUGGCUCAGGUGACCUUUCCACAGCUGCCACUUUGAACCUGCCUCAUGGAGGGGGCUUGUGCCCCUUGUGCUCUGCUGCUCUAGGGGAGCGAGACUUGGCUCCAGCAGGCUCACAAGUACACCCCUGUAGAGAGGAGCAGGGAUAAAUGGAGGAUUAACCGCAGCUAUGGGUCUGCCGUCAAAAUGUCUAGAAAGCCUAUUUUUUAAACAACCUGAUUGCAUGUAGGAGUAAUUUCAGUGGCCUGUACUUCUUAGCUCUUUUUUUGUAUUUUGUGGUAUGUGUCAGUGAACAGAACUUAAUAAUACUUCACCCAUAUGAACCUCUGUGAUUGCAUGCAGUUUCAGCAGAAAAACAAAAUUAAUUCUCUCACUUCACAGUAGUUUUUUGGAUAAUAAGCUGACCUUUUGCAUUUAUUUUGUACAUAGAAAACACUACUAAUUCAUUAAGAUAGGGAUCUGCAGAUUAACAUUUUAAGUGUUACUGAAAACAACAAAUUAUGUUAUUUAUAGAGAUUUGAAAUUAUACCUAUUUGAGGCUGCGAGUGCACAAAAUUUAAAACAUAAGAAUAAAAAUAUCUGCCACAGAAGAUUCAAAUCUUACAGGUUUCUACAAUUUACAUAAUGUGAAAAGCAACAACAGCAAUGCUCAUGAAGAAUGCAGAUGAUGUAUAACAGAGUUGGUUCUUACUCUGAUUGCAAACCAACCAUUAAGUCACUACCAGUCUAUUGCUUUAGUUUAAAAAACCAUUAUGUAGAUGAAAUAUACUUGCUUUCAGGUAAUUCUUUUAAUGAUUAAUUUUGCUGGUAUAUCACCAUGAGAUGUCACAGUAUGAUGAUAAUUAGUAAAUAUAAUAAAACAGUAGCUAAAUGUAACAAAUGAUAUUAUAAGUAGAUCAACACUGGUUUUCUAUGAGAGACGCUGUUGAGGUUUGUCCAAAGAUUCAAUAUCGUUUUUAAUUUUUACUAUUAAAUAAUUGGUGCAGCUUGAAAGAGAGAAAUUUCUAGAGAUGGGAGUUACAUUCAUUGUCAUAAUCAACUCCAAGUACUCGUCAUUGACUGCUCUGGGAUAUUUUGGCUCACAGGGCAGCAUUAAGGCCAAUGUUUGCACCUUUAUCUCAGUUGCUGGAAUUCUCUGGUACGCACUUUCUAUUAGGAAAGGUCUAGAUACACUGAAACAUAGCACAUUUGUAAAGCAGAUGAAGAAACUAGUCAGGAGGUUUGCUGACAGCAAAUUUUGUUUAGCUAGUUUUACUAUAAGCAAUUUACUCUACAUGUGCAUUUCUGCAUUCAAAUUGUUCUUUAUUAAGAUCCUUCCCUAAUAAUAUAAAAAUGUGUUUAUAAAGCCUGUAAGUGGUUUCUGUAAUAAGAUUUUUAAUGAGUUGGAAUAUUAAAUUAAGUUUUGUAGAAAUGCUUGAGGUGUUGUUAUAACUAACUUACAAACUGUACACCAUUAACUUUAUCAUAUAGAGUAAUUUUGGUUUCUAUUCAAGCAAUAUACAGCUCCGAAAUACUAACUGUCAGAUACUUUACACUGCAAAUGGAAUUUUGCUGACUAUUUAGCAAUAAUGUCUGUGGUUAUGAUAUCUGAGCCCCACAGGGAGAGCAAUUCAGCUGGUUGGUCAACCUGGGGGUGGGCUGCAUUGUCAGGUUGUGCGCUCCGUGCUGGGUGGCAUAAAGCAGAGCAGCCCAGAAGCACCACAGGCUGCUUAGCUGGCACUUGACAGAGACUGUCUGGCUCUCUGGGGUUUACAUUCUCUCCCCUUUGCUUACAUCUGGGUUUCCUUAAAAGUAAGAAAAUGUGCAGAGAUCCCCAAACAUUUACUGUCUCAAUGGCCAGUGCACAGCAGACGAAGCAUAGCUAACCUUAAGCUGCUCAUGUUUAAAUAAAAGUGAUUAAUGAGAUUGCAGAACAAGCAGCAAACUCAGAGUUUUUCAGUUGUGUUUUUGCACUCUAUAGUUAAUACAAAAUCAUCUAACAUAAGAUGUAUAACUUAGACUAUGGUUCUUCCUUACCCCCACCUUUUUUAAAACUUCUACUGAUAGUACAGGGAACUCAUGCUCCUAACUUUUGAAAGGCAGGUCUUCCAGAACAACUGAUUUUUGCUUGUAAGCUGCUGCCCUCUUUGCUCCUGGCAAAAAUGCUGCGUGUUGAUGCAGAUGAUGGUGUAACUAGGACCCGUAUAAGUCUUAUCAUCCAAGCAAAUAUGCCUUUGCCAUAAUGGGCAAUAUUUUUCAUGACCUGAUAGAUGAGGGAUAGAUGAGUUGUGCAGCUCUCCACUGUUUGGACAAGAGGCCAUCAGCAGCUGAGGAGUGAAACAGUGCAUCACACCUCAUGUGGAUGGCAGGAGUUCUCUAAAACGGAUGAUAUGGCUACUUUUCUUAGAGGUCUUUAACUUCAUUUGUAAAUCUACGGAUGCUUUUUGUUUCUUAUUCACAUUUUACUUCACCUUAUAUACUCUUCAUCUACUUUCUCACUUCUUAUCCUUUUGACUUAUUCAAGGUUUGUCAUAUCUCAGAGUGGCAGGUCAGUGAAAAAGCUCCCACUGAGUUGGAAGAAAAUGUGUUUUGUCAUUAUUUUGAUUUUGACUUUGAGAAGUUUGAACUGGUAUAAGACAAGCUCUGCUCUUCCAAACCCUGGUGCUGUGACAGUGGACCAGUGACAACAGCUUAUCCUGUCUCAACUCCUUCAUCUUCAAAAUGAUGGUGAGGAUAUGUACCUCUGUCAAGUGCUAGGAGAAGAAAAAGCAGCAUUAUAAAUAAAACCAAAGCAUUACUGUGAUCUAUUGUGUAGAUUUAGUAUCCAGCAUUAGUUGAAGUUUCUCACCCCAGGGAAGCAUGGAGCUGCUGGCCACGUAAGCUGGAAAGUGAAAAGCUAUCUGUCACUCUGGCAAGUUGUGCAUCCCAAGUGGAGACAGCAGCACAUAGAAAAAACACGACAUGCCAUAGGGAUGGCAAUGACUUUCUUGUUUCAAGCAGAAUCUGGUUAAGGUAUACUGUUAUUACUGCUUGCUUUAAAUUAAAAUACAUUAAAUGCUGCCAGUAAACUGAGAGCUGGCAGCAUUGAGAAACACGAAGCUGCUGCUGAAUAUUCUGCAAGGCUAACUGCAGUUAUUGAGGGACUUACCAUUGCAGCAAAUGGGCUGCAACAUCAGAUUUUAAGAUACUGGGGUAGUGCUGUUAAGCUGUGGUGCAUCUCAGAUGUGCUGCCUCUCCUCAUGAGAUUGACG